UGUUACUCUGGCUCUAUCUGUCUGGCGUGGAGAGGAGGUUGUGUUGCUCUGGCUCUAUCUGUCUGGCGUGGAGAGGAGGUUGUGUUGCUCUGGCUCUAUCUGUCUGGCGUGGAGAGGAGGUUGUGUUGCUCGGCCUCUAUCUGUCUGGCGUGGAAAGGAGGUUGCGUUGCUCUGGCUCUAUCUAUCUGGCAUGGAGAGUAGGUCGUGUUGCUCUGGCUUUAUCUAUCUGGUGUGGAGAGGAGGUCGUGUUGCUCUGGCUCUAUCUGUCUGGCGUGGAGAGGAGGUU